UACGUAGGUGGCAAGCGUUGUCCGGAAUUACUGGGCGUAAAGAGCUCGUAGGCGGUUUGUCGCGUCGUCUGUGAAAACCAGCAGCUCAACUGUUGGCUUGCAGGCGAUACGGGCAGACUUGAGUAUUUCAGGGGAGACUGGAAUUCCUGGUGUAGCGGUGAAAUGCGCAGAUAUCAGGAGGAACACCGGUGGCGAAGGCGGGUCUCUGGGAAAUAACUGACGCUGAGGAGCGAAAGCGUGGGUAGCGAACAGG
rnacentral:rRNA from 1 species